GGAGAGUUGGGUGAGCGGUUGAAACCGGUGCUCUCGAAAAGCACUAGGCGGGUAACCGCCUCGGAGGUUCGAAUCCUCCACUCUCCGCCA
rnacentral:tRNA from 1 species